UGAGGAAUAUUGGUCAAUGGGCGGGAGCCUGAACCAGCCAAGCCGCGUGAGGGAGGAAGGCCCUAUGGGUCGUAAACCUCUUUUGUCAGGGAACAAAAGCGAGUAUGUAUACUAGUCUGAGUGUACCUGAAGAAAAAGCAUCGGCUAACUCCGUGCCAGCAGCCGCGGUAAUACGGAGGAUGCGAGCGUUAUCCGGAUUUAUUGGGUUUAAAGGGUGCGUAGGCGGCGGUGCAAGUCAGCGGUAAAAGCCCGGGGCUCAACCCCGGCGAGCCGUUGAAACUGCAGUGCUAGAGAAGGCGAGAGGUACGCGGAAUGCGCAGUGUAGCGGUGAAAUGCUUAGAUAUUGCGCAGAACUCCGAUUGCGAAGGCAGCGUACUGGCGCCUGACUGACGCUGAGGCACGAAAGCGUGGGUAUCAAACAGGAUUAGAUACC
rnacentral:rRNA from 1 species